rnacentral:ribozyme from 1 species
AGAAUGUAAAAUCCUACCAUAGCCUCCACGUGGCGCACUCUGGGGUCGUGAUAUUUCACCAGCUAAUAUGGAGGG